rnacentral:lncRNA from 1 species
GGCAAAAGCAGAGUGCUCCACUGAAAUGACCUGGGGACUCAACCUCAAAAGGCCAUAUCCCAAAUGUUGCUCGUGUACACUUUUGGUGAGUGUGGGAGAGGGUCAGCUGAGUACGCAUGCCACACACAGAGGGUUCUGAGACAGAGAUUCAGUUGGACCCAUCCACCCAUGGACCAUAGCUGCUAUUGCCAUGGAGAGACUUGGGCCACCAGCUGUGUGAGCUUCCCUCAGGCUGGCCUGGCCUCCAUUCUACCUGCUGCAGAGACCUCUGGAGGCUCCAGCACCCAGGGCUGUCUCAACCAGAACCAGGAGGCUGCGACUCCUCACACCUCUUCAGCCUGAGAUGAGUCAUCUUACCUUAGGCAGUGGGAUCUGGUUUCCCCUAUGGCUGCCUGGAAGCACUAAGCAAAAGAAUAUAAAUAGCAGAAAUAAAGGAGAAUUAAUAUCCUGUGUGGAAAUUUUUGACCAGGUCUGCCAUUAACAAUUGCUUUAUUAUGUAAGACUUCUAAGACCAUAUGUAUAAAUAAGUAAGCUAUGGAAGAAAUAAACCAGUUGUAAAAUUAAAAAUAAGUUCUAUCUCCUAUCUUGACAAGUAUACCUUUAUAAUGACAGAUUGAAAAAUAUGAACCAAGCUAUAUUAUUUAUAUGAAUUAACACUGGUAAAAUAUCAAAAAUGACUGAAUUUAAUAACUAUGAUACAUAUCUAGGUAUUCUGUUAAUGGACUGGUGAUGUUUUGAUGAGUAUUAAAAAUAAAAAUAUAUAUGUCUGUCAUAAAUUAGUAUAAUAGUUGUUUUUGCCUUAUUUCAGCAAAAUUGCUAAUUAAUUAUUAUAGUCAAGAUUUUCAUAUAACUUGGAUUGAACUGAUAACAGUCCUCUAAAAGAUUAAAAAAUAAAAUAUGAUUUACUCAAGUGUACAUGACUUGAGUAUAUUUCAUCAAAAAAGUAAAUUAAAUGUAAAAUAAAACUUUUUCACUUAUGUUUUUAAAAAGUUGCUUUCUUUGAAAUAACUAAUAUAAAAUGUUUUAUAUU